GGAAUUUUAAUGUAGAUUAUUUUUUUUUCAGGGGGGGGAAUUAAGGGUGCCAGGAAUGCUAGGACUACAUUUCCCGAGUACAUAACCUGAUUCAUAUAGUUACACAUAGUGUACACUAUUAUACUCCAAACUUGAAACUUUUGUUUUGAGUUUACAGAUUUUCUUUCAAUUUUUCGUUAAUUUAUAAGUUUUUUAAGGGUAUUACUUAAUUAAAAUCGAUUUUUAGCUAUUUUAUAGAGUAUUGUUUGAUUGUUUUAAUCCGGACUUAACUAAUAAUAUUUGAAUUAUUAAGGUAUU